rnacentral:rRNA from 1 species
CAGUAGCCGCGGGAAUACGAAGGGGGCUAGCGUUGUUCGGAAUUACUGGGCGUAAAGCGCACGUAGGCGGAUAUUUAAGUCAGGGGUGAAAUCCCAGAGCUCAACUCUGGAACUGCCUUUGAUACUGGGUAUCUUGAGUAUGAAAGAGGUGAGUGGAAUUCCGAGUGUAGAGGUGAAAUUCGUAGAUAUUCGGAGGAACACCAGUGGCGAAGGCGGCUCACUGGUCCAUUACUGACGCUGAGGUGCGAAAGCGUGGGGAGCAAACAGGAUUAGAUACCCCGGUAGUCCCUGUCUCUUAUAC